UGCUCUUAUGAUUGCUAGGGAUGUGAUGUAGGGCACUGACCAAUCCGUCAUCCUUCACAUACUAGAUGUUCCUCCUGCUGCUGAAGCACUUAGUGGAGUGAGAUGGGAUUGGUCAAUGCUGCACUCCCUCUUCUCAAAGGUUAGUUGUUUACUCUUGAGUAGUGAAAAUAAUCGUCAGUAGUUUCAUAAAUUUUGACAUUUUGUAUGCCAGAUGAGAUAUAAGUUAAAAGUGGAUAACUUGUAUCUAUCUACUAUGCUAUUUAAAUCAGGUGGUGUUGCAGCAACUAAUGUUGUUGAAACAUGCAAUGGUUGGUGGUUUCCCCAGGAAAGAGGAAAGAUGUGAUAUUAAAGAAUGUUUCAUAUACAAAUCCCAGGUUUCAGUUCUUGAGAAGCAGGCCACUGCCAAUUGCAAGGUGAUUAGCUUAUAUCGAAGUUUCUUGCUGGCCUUUUUUUUAUAGAAUUUUUAUAGAAUAAUGCUAUAUCAUCUUUAGUAUUGUUCUAUAUUUUUAUCAUCAUUAAAUUCGUAGUCAAAAACUCAAAGUUCGACAUUAAAUUUUGCCCGCACUGAAAAAUAAUACUGACUCCGCCCCUGAUAGCAUGAAUUUAUAAAUGUCAAAAGAGUACAUAGAUGAUUAUGUGGCUGCUGGUCAAUAAGUGUGAUUGCUUUUUACUAUAUAACAGUAAAAAUUUUGAUUAAAAUUUGUUGAAAAUUACUCCCAAACAAAAGCUAGACAAAUUUAUACUUCAACAAAUUUACAUGCUAGUCAACUUCUAUGGAUUUUUUUUAAAAUAAUAAUUUUAUUUAUGAUAAUAGUAGUCUUAUAUAAAGAAUGAAAUUGCAAAUUUACAUUUAUAUGUUGAACCCUGUAUUAAUUUAUUGGUUUAAGCUUGCAUUGAGUUAAAUAUAGUAUUCUUAAUAUUGUCAAAUUGCCUCAAGUCUUAAAGUCUGUAUUAUCGAGUCCUGUUUAUCUAUCAUUCUCCAAAUUAUUAUUAUUUUGUCUUAAACUUAUCUUUAAUCACACAUUCUCAUAAUAAAAUAUAGUGCAUAUAAAUUUUAAAAAAUUUCCAUACUUUUUAACUAUAUAUUUUUCAAAAAAUCACUAUUUUAAAACUUAUUUUACCUAAAAAAAAACUCUUUUUAAUGAGUAUCAAAUGGGGCUGAAUUCAAUGAUUUGUACUAAAAAGAUUAGUGUAAAAUUGAAGAUAGUUAUCCUUGUUUAAAGUACUUUCUCGAUGACAUGAUACAAACAACAUCGAUUACAUGACACGACAUGAGGGAGCAUAUGUACAUAAGGAUGUUAAGUCCUUGGCUCAUCCAACUAGCGAGUUGAGCUGACUAGACUGGCGAAUCAAACGAGCCGAUGAACGAAUCGUUUGGCGGCUAGCAAGCAAGCUAGCUUGUCUAAAGCCUGUGAGUUACUCGCAUUUUAGCUACAAAAUAUAAUUUUCAACCCCAAAGAAAAGAAGGUGCGAGGCAAACCCGAUAGAGUCGAGUGGCUUGAUUGUUCCCUUUAACACCCCUACCUAUAUUUAGUUUAUAAGGAUGUUAGUAUUUGUAGUUGUGGAAUGGUCUUACAUUGCUUAAUUGGUGUAAUGACUUCCAUAUUCGGUGUUAGCAUUCUUGUUGAACCAGAUCAUGUUGCAUAAGGUGUCAUUAUUGGAACUAUACUUUUGUGGCCACCUAUGUAGUUUAACUCGGAUGUUAAAAGUUUUGUUAUAAUAAUUAAAUGUUUGUCCAAGUGAGAGAAUGUUGGAAUAAUUCUAAAUAUGUGCUUCACAUUCAUAUAAAUUUUACGGGUUAGAUGUAUGGUUUAUAAUGAUAUUUUGAUUGAGUCAAAUUUAUUAAGUGAUCAAUUGGGCAUUUACACCUUACGAGUUAUAUUUAAUAUGAUGUGGUAAUUUUAAGUAUGUAAGUUGAAAAUAUGUGUAAACCCUAAUUAGAGUUUAAGUGGUAAUGAGACGGCUUGAUAAUUUUCUAUAUAAAGAUCAGGUCCCCUCUCCUCUCCAUAUUGUUUUAUUAAUUUGUCUCAUUGACGACUAAUACUUUAUGAAGAGUAAGGAGUCGAAGAUUUACCUGUUAUUAUUUAUAUCAACGAUGGCUUCCGCAAGUAUGAAUUCAAUUUAUCAAUUAUUUUUAUUAUGUGAUUCUUGUUCUUAUCAUGGUUAUCGUUAAAUUCAACAUGUAAAGCUUGAAAUUAGAAAUUUCGUGAAGGGAAAAAUUUGGUGAUCUAAUUUUUUUAGCGCAAAUCACGGAAGGCAGUAUAAAAUGUGGAUAUGUAAUAUUGAAAUUAUUAUCUUAAAUAGGGUACUAAAUGUAAUUUACACAACUUAUAAUUAUUCAAUCAUUGGCUCAAAUAUUGGUUGUCAUUUUGUUUUCUUUUCCCCUCCAGUCAACACGACUCGCACCGACUGUUUUGUCGUUUGCUACAUAUAAAGUUGUGACCAGCUCCAAUUUGUUUCAUUUUUUUUUUAUAUCCAGAUAUUUCAACUUACACUAAACUAAAUUCUGGACAUUCAAGAUCCUUGCUCCUAGAAUUUUGGAGGGGGUAAAUCGUGGGUUAUGUCUCAAUUGGAUCACAGGCUCCCCUACCGUCUGUACACUUCUGCGUACAAGAGAUCCUCCUCCAAAGUGAUUACUCCAUACCAAAUAAAUCUGGCCGCAGGUUCCCACCAAGAUUCGAACCUCCACCCUGCCGCUGGAAGUAAGACAAAUAUUGAUUGAUCCACCAGUUGAAUUGUGCCCCGAGGAGUUUCAAUUUGUUUCAUUUUGCUAUUAAGCGCAGGUAGAUCAGGCUACAAUUUAU
rnacentral:lncRNA from 1 species